rnacentral:lncRNA from 1 species
GUUAGGCACCCCUCGAUCCCGUGGUUCAACCACGAUCGCUUGGUAGAGUGUAUCGACUAUUGUUUUGACACUAAGAAAUGUAUAAACCACACAAAAGCACGCAAAAUAAUCAAACAAUAAACAAAACAAAACAAUACAAAAAUGUAAAGUUCAGUCCAAUUAUACAGUCCAAAAAUAGAAAAAUACGAAAAUAUAAAUCCUAUUCUAAACUAAAUCUAGACUAAGCUCCAAUGCCUUACCCAAAUAGAAAGAAACAACCACCAAAUAUUCACACAUUCAACAAAUCACCAAGAGUCCUAAACUUUGCCUACCCAAAGCCUACGAUUUGCUUACCGAUCCUCAUGCCAAAACAUGAUAUUUAUUCCGAAUUAAACAAAACAACAAUAAACCUAAAUCGAUCUAUAUUCACCCUUUUUAUCAAUUUUUCAAUUCUUCCCCAAAUUCAUUCUCAACCA